rnacentral:rRNA from 1 species
AGGGUGUAAACGUUGCAGACUUGGUGUUGGGGGCCCUUUGGGGGCAUUCAGUGCCGGAGAGAAGUUGUUAAGUCUGCUACUUGGGGAGUACGUCCGCAAGGAUGAAACUUAAAGGAAUUGGCGGGGGAGCACCGCAACGGGAGGAGCGUGCGGUUUAAUUGGAUUCAACACCGUAAAACUCACCAGGGAAGACUGUUACAUGAAGGCCGAGAUGAAGACUCUGCUAGAUUUUCAGAGAGGUGGUGCAUGGCGUAGACGUCU